AUGGUGAUUCCAAGCGAUAUAACUCUUGAUGAAUGGAUGGAUUAUAUGAAGGAAUGUAUCUAGUGAAAAGAUGCUCAAGUAUCCAAUUAUACUCACCUUUUCACAUCUGUAAAUAGGAAAGGUAUCGUACUUUUCAUUCAUCAUAACAACAUCACUUUCCAUUCGAAUACUAUCAGAUUAGAAAAGAGAAUUGAGCCUACUAACUGAGUGAACUCAAGUGCAUCUAUUG
rnacentral:lncRNA from 1 species